AGCAGUUCUGCUGGUUUACUUCACCUCGCACUGGUCGCAGAAUCGGCCCGUGACUCCCGGCCGGCAGUGACACACUCCCGUCCUCUCGUCACACGAAGACGUGCCACAUUUGUGGCACUGGCACUCUGUGACAGACACGGGACACAUGCACGGGUUGGAGGACUGAUUUGGACCACUCUGGGCCUGCGACUAUGCUAUAAGCUUGGAAGAAGGAUGGGGAACGUAUCUGCAGCCCAGAGGAUGUGGACGUCACCUCUGAGUUGGAGCUCGGAGGCUGCGAUGAAGACCAAGCAGCCUUGAUAAAACAGCUAUACAGUCUUAGGUUGGUACUGUGGCUUAUCUGCAGGAGUCCUAUAAUGUUGUUGGCGUUACCUCCUCCGCACGCUACAAUUAUGGCACAGUUUUUUCUGUGGCUUGCGGUAUCGACCCAAUGUGGUACUGGUUUCCACUGCUUGGUACCCAUCUCCGGUCUGGAACCCCCAUCCGCUUCUUCCUCUUUGUUUUUCCCAUGUCUUCCCACCGCACGGCAGUCCAUGGCAGACGCCUCAGAGCCCAGGGAUGCUGACGCGUCCUCUGGAGAAGAUUAACUCAAGGCUUCUGUCUCUGUAUUUUCUGAAUGUAACUGGGUUGUCGGGCUUGAAAAAUGUUUCCAUUAUAAUCCAGUAAAGAUCUGGAGGCUG